AAGAGGCACCCUAGUCUAGUUUCGAUGUGGUUAACUGCGAUAACAGCAACAUCUGGGGUUUCCAUUCAGCAAUAGUUCUAAACCGCAAAUUGCCUGCUUCUUCUAGGCUUUCAUUUCGUUUCAUUUUUUUCCUGCGCUGUUAGAUAAGAUUCAGAUUUCGGAUUCAACAUCCUCUCCCCUUGCAAGCAUGCGCAACAGUUUUGGAUUGUCUCUUAUCGUGUUUUCCGAGCUCAGCCGAAUCGAAUUAUUUUUGUGUGUAGAGCGCGGAUCGUUUAACGACCAAUCAGAGGAGAACACGUCGCUUUUCAAAUCCCCUCUGUCAGCUCGUGGCUUGAGUUGCUUGUGCGAACAUUCAGUGCGUAGUCAGAGGUAAAUAAGUGAACAAGUAAAUCCAAUCCACGCCAUGUCGCAGUAGAACACCGUGUGUAUGCUUUGAGAUUGAAGAAUUCUUAAUCAACUGUGGGAUGUGAUGAAACUCUCAACAUCUGGUAAUGUUGCGUAAGUGAGGCCUGUUUUGGUGUGAGUCAGCGACGAAAAGAGUGUAAUAGAAGAAAAUCAUACGCGCCACAUAAUUUGUUAGAAAAUGAAUCCACCGAAAAGUGCUAAGAUUCGCUUGCAGAAUCUUCACGUCGACUACGGAUAACGCGUCCCCUUGGCUUUAGAUAUCGCAACAUCUGGCAAUCAUCGGAGACAGCUGAAUUGGUGACAACACGCGCAAGCCACAUCAUCAAUGUGAAAAGAACAUGGAAGCUGUAACUCCAGAAGGAAACGCUCAACGGAAGACAGUGCAAGUAUUGGUUUCUCGCUAGGGGAAAGACAGAUAUAGCGAGAGUUAUUCUGUUUCCAGAGUGUUGCUCAGAAUUUCUCUGGAUCGCACUGUUUUUCUCUCGAAGUGUUGUUUGAUGCUAUGGAAAAAAUGAGCAGUGUUGCCCGAUUUCUCGCUAUUAGAGACGUUUCUGAAGGGAACUUCACACCAGUGUCUUGCCCCUAGGUUCGUCGCAGAAAGAUCGAGCCGUUACGCUAGGCCUGUAGUUUUUGAACGGUAAUUGCCGUUCCUCGGAUUGCGCAGAAAAAGGUUUUUGAGGCAUAGUGGAGCGCCUUACAUCAGCUAACACUUCCACAGGGUGAUUCAACAUAUUUGCAGUUUUUGAAAGGGUCCUGAUUCACUAAACGAAGAAAUUGUAAACGCUACGCUGGGGAAAAAGUUCGAAACAACUACGAUUUGAUAAGUUUACCGCCGUCGUCUUCGCACUGUAACGUGUAAAGCGUGAUAAGAAUUCUGCAAGAGAUUACUCUCCAAUACACAUCAGAAACGUUUUAAUUGGCCGUAAGCUAGCAUCGAACAAUGGAAUACCACAAGCAACAGUGCUAGGCUAGUAUGUAUUGGACAAUCCUAACGCACAUCAGGAAGGCAACCAACUGUGACGUGCCACUUCAGUUUUAGUACAUACAAACAGACGUAACUCUUAGAGGAAAUUCAUCAAAAACAUUUUCCCGCACACUGCCACCUGUUGGUAGUUCCGCGCUAGACGCUGACGGCCAUGAUACAUUUCGAUUUGACGUUUGUCUAACACGCACACUACUACACAAAUCGCCCGUAGUCGUUGUUUGCAUCAUUCAGCAACGUGUACACUGACAAACGUCAAAGCGAUCGAACGCUAGCGCCUCUGGUGGAAGGAACGCGGAAAUCAAAUAAAAUUCGAAUUGAUCGUUAAAUGUAUGUGCCGAGCCAUUUUGAAGAGUGUUACUUCUGUUUGUCUGUGGUUUUAGUCUUAGUUCUUAGAAUAAGUUUUGACGGUGGUGGUCAUAACAAUUCUUUAUCGGCAAAAUCGAUCCCUAGUUCUCAAUUCAGCCUAGUGGUUACGCAUUGGAUCGCCAACUCGGAGACGUCGGUUUCAAAUUUUGAGCUAGUCGGGAAUCGUUUCCAGCACAUAAGCACAGAGACUUAAGGCUGGACCACAAUAGCGCGCCGAGGAGCGUCGCGCCACGUCGCGUUUAGCGCUUCAAU